rnacentral:rRNA from 1 species
AGUGAACGCUGGCGGUAGGCCUAACACAUGCAAGUCGAACGGCAGCACAGUAAGAGCUUGCUCUUACGGGUGGCGAGUGGCGGACGGGUGAGGAAUACAUCGGAAUCUACUUUUUCGUGGGGGAUAACGUAGGGAAACUUACGCUAAUACCGCAUACGACCUACGGGUGAAAGCAGGGGAUCUUCGGACCUUGCGCGAUUGAAUGAGCCGAUGUCGGAUUAACUAGUUGGCGGGGUAAAGGCCCACCAAGGCGACGAUCCGUAGCUGGUCUGAGAGGAUGAUCAGCCACACUGGAAAUGAGACACGGUCCAGACUCCUACGGGAGGCAGCAGUGGGGAAUAUUGGACAAUGGGAGCAAGCCUGAUCCAGCCAUACCGCGUGGGUGAAGAAGGCCUUCGGGUUGUAAAGCCCUUUUGUUGGGAAAGAAAAGCAGCAGGUUAAUACCCCGCUGUUCUGACGGUACCCAAAGAAUAAGCACCGGCUAACUUCGUG